rnacentral:rRNA from 1 species
GACAGAGGUGCCGAGCGUUAGGCGGAAUCACUGGGCUUAAAGCGUGUGUAGGUGGAUGCCUAAGUACCUUGUGAAAUCCCACGGCUUAACCGUGGAACUGCUGGGUAUACUGGGUGUCUUGAGCCACUCAGGGGCUACCGGAACAAACGGUGGAGCGGUGAAAUGCGUAGAUAUCGUUUGGAACGCCAAUGGUGAAAACAGGUAGCUGGGGGUGUGCUGACACUGAGACACGAAAGCCAGGGGAGCAAACGGG